rnacentral:rRNA from 1 species
AGAGUUUGAUCAUGGCUCAGGAUGAACGCUGGCGGCGUGCCUAACACAUGCAAGUCGAGCGAUUUACUUCGGUAAAGAGCGGCGGACGGGUGAGUAACGCGUGGGUAACCUGCCCUAUACACACGGAUAACAUACCGAAAGGUAUGCUAAUACGAGAUAAUAUAAGAGAUUCACAUGGAUUUCUUAUCAAAGCUGAGGCGGUAUAGGAUGGACCCGCGUCUGAUUAGCUAGUUGGUAAGGUAACGGCUUACCAAGGCGACGAUCAGUAGCCGACCUGAGAGGGUGAUCGGCCACAUUGGAACUGAGACACGGUCCAAACUCCUACGGGAGGCAGCAGUGGGGAAUAUUGCACAAUGGGCGAAAGCCUGAUGCAGCAACGCCGCGUGAGUGAUGAAGGCCUUCGGGUCGUAAAACUCUGUCCUCAAGGAAGAUAAUGACGGUACUUGAGGAGGAAGCCCCGGCUAACUACGUGCCAGCAGCCGCGGUAAUACGUAGGGGGCUAGCGUUAUCCGGAUUUACUGGGCGUAAAGGGUGCGUAGGUGGUCUCUUAAGUCAGGAGUGAAAGGCUACGGCUUAACCGUAGUAAGCUCUUGAAACUGGGAGACUUGAGUGCAGGAGAGGAAAGUGGAAUUCCUAGUGUAGCGGUGAAAUGCGCAGAUAUUAGGAGGAACACCAGUAGCGAAGGCGGCUUUCUGGACUGUAACUGACACUGAGGCACGAAAGCGUGGGGAGCAAACAGGAUUAGAUACCCUGGUAGUCCACGCCGUAAACGAUGAGUACUAGGUGUCGGGGGUUACCCCCCUCGGUGCCGCAGCUAACGCAUUAAGUACUCCGCCUGGGGAGUACGCUCGCAAGAGUGAAACUCAAAGGAAUUGACGG